UACGAAGGGUGGAAGCGUUACUCGGAAUUACUGGGCGUAAAGCGUGCGCAGGCGGUGCUGUAAGACCGAUGUGAAAUCCCCGGGCUUAACCUGGGAACUGCAUUGGUGACUGCAGCGCUGGAGUAUGGCAGAGGGGGGUGGAAUUCCACGUGUAGCAGUGAAAUGCGUAGAGAUGUGGAGGAACACCGAUGGCGAAGGCAGCCCCCUGGGCCAAUACUGACGCUCAUGCACGAAAGCGUGGGGAGCGAACAGG
rnacentral:rRNA from 1 species